rnacentral:misc_RNA from 1 species
UCCGAGUUGACCCCGGCAGUCUCCUACGAGUCCCCGGCAUUAUCCGCUGGCAACAUAGGACAAGGGUUGCGCUCGUUGCGGGACUUAACCCAACAUCUCACGACACGAGCUGACGACAGCCAUGCAGCACCUGUGCACGGACUCCGAAGAGGGGCCCCGGUUUCUCGGGGCUUUCCCGUGCAUGUCAAGCCCAGGUAAGGUUCUUCGCGUUGAGUCGAAUUAAACCACAUGCUCCACCGCUUGUGCGGGCCCCCGUCAAUUCCUUUGAGUUUCAGCCUUGCGGCCGUACUCCCCAGGCGGGGCACUUAAUGCGUUAGCUACAGCAUUGCACGGGUCGAUACGCACAGCGCCUAGUAUCCAUCGUUUACGGCUAGGACUA